UGCAAAGCGUUCCUUAAGAAAUGCCAAGUCAGAGUUGAAAUGUCUUUGCAACGACUUCUAACGGCUGGACUUUUUGUCUUUUUGAAUGUUACACCCGCUUUACUCUGACCCUGGUGGAGAUUUGGGCUAAAUGGUUUGUCCUGACUUGCGAUCCCUCCUGUGGGACGCCUCCUUCUCUGGGGACUGGUCUUUGGCUCAUCUCCUUGGUGCUUCCCACUGGCUUGGCUCAUGGAGCAGCCCUAUUUGUGGGAAAGUAGCCCAGUUCCCAGCUUCACCAAACACCGGGACUACAUGAACGCCAGUCGGUGCCCUUCCUGCAGCCCGGAGGCCGCUUACGUUAGGGAUGCCUGCCUCCACCCUGGACGUCUGACGGGCCAAGGGCGAAGCUGUGCCCCCUAAACAAG